rnacentral:rRNA from 1 species
AUACGGAGGGAACAAGCGUUAUUCGGAAUCACUGGGCGUAAAGGACGCGUAGGCGGGUUAUUAAGUCGGGUGUGAAAUCCAAUGGCUCAACCAUUGAACUGCAUUCGAAACUGAUAACCUAGAGUAUGGAAGGGGCAGGUGGAAUUAGUGGUGUAGGGGUAAAAUCCGUAGAUAUCACUAGGAAUACCGAAAGCGAAGGCGACCUGCUGGGACAUUACUGACGCUGAGGCGUGAAAGCGUGGGGAGCAAACAGGAUUAGAAACCCCAGUAGUCC